rnacentral:lncRNA from 1 species
UGGAAAUUAAUUGCAAAAUAAAUCAAUUGAAAUGUAAGAAAAUCAAUUAAAAUUUAAAAAUAAUAUUAAUUAUUAUUUUGUAAAAUUAAAAUUGAUGAAAAAAUAAAAUCAAGAUUUAUAAUUAAAAUUUAUAAAUUAAUAAAAUCAAAAAUUAAAAUAGAUAAAAUAAAAUAAAAUAAACAAUUAAAAGAAAAGAAAUAAAUAAAAUAAAAUAAUAAAUAAAAAGGGGUGCAAUCUAGAAAAUAGGAGCCCAUAAAGCAAAUGGGACAAGCUCAGGGUGCUGAGGCCCAAAACCACAUAUGAGUUGACCAAGGGAGUUAAUGUGUGGUCCAUCCAAUGAUCAGAUCCAUUGGAUCUAAUACGAUGGCCCAAAUGCG